GAUCAUGGCUCAGGAUGAACGCUAGCUACAGGCUUAACACAUGCAAGUCGAGGGGAAACGACAUCGAAAGCUUGCUUCGAUGGGCGUCGACCGGCGCACGGGUGAGUAACGCGUAUCCAACCUGCCCACCACUUGGGGAUAACCUUGCGAAAGUAAGACUAAUACCCAAUGAUAUCCUCUAGAAGACUACUCUAGAAAGGGAGUAAUUAAAAGUAUUUAGUCGGUGAGUGGAGGUGGGGAUGCGU
rnacentral:rRNA from 1 species